rnacentral:misc_RNA from 1 species
AAUGAAGAACGUAGCGAAAUGCGAUAAGUAAUGUGAAUUGCAGAAUUCAGUGAAUCAUCGAGUCUUUGAACGCACAUUGCGCCCCCUGGUAUUCCGGGGGGCAUGCCUGUCCGAGCGUCAUUGCUGCCCUCAAGCACGGCUUGUGUGUUGGGCCCCGUCCUCCGAUCCCGGGGGACGGGCCCGAAAGGCAGCGGCGGCACCGCGUCCGGUCCUCGAGCGUAUGGGGCUUUGUCACCCGCUCUGUAGGCCCGGCCGGCGCUUGCCGAUCAACCCAAAUUUUUAUCCAGGUUGACCUCGGAUCAGGUAGGGAUACCCGCUGAACUUAAGCAUAUCAAUAAGCGGAGGA